GCUUCCCUGGUGGUGCAGUGGUUAAGAAUCUGCCUGCCAAUGCAGGGGACAUGGGUUCAAGCCCUGGUCCAGGAAGAUCCCACGUGCUGCGGAGCAACUAAGCCCGUGCACCACAACUACUGAGCCUGCACUCUAGAGCCUGCGAGCCACAACUACUGAGCCAGCAUGCCGCAAUUACUGAAGCCCGUGUGCCUAGAUCCCAUGCUCCACAACAAGAGAAGCCAUAGCAAUGAGAGGCCCGUGCACCACAACCAAGAGUAGCCCCCGCUCGCCGCAACUAGAGAAAGCCCGCGUGGAGCAACGAAGACCCAACGCAGCCAAAAAUAAGUCUGUUACAUUUCCCAGAAUGGUUCCCAGCGCUGGAGAUAAUUCCUUUUCGGAGAACCUACAUUUCUCACCUGCUGAUUGCAAUUAGCCACUGCCAGCUGGGGCCUGGUAUGCAGCUGAAACGCUAACAAGAAGUGGAGACCACGCGGAACCCGGACAGGGCAAAGGAUGUGAACAAGCCAACAAAGAGACUUGAGAUAUUAGAAAAAUCCUGGAAGCCAGCAGACCUGGAUUUCAAUCCUCAUUCUCCUUAACUGAUCUGGCUAUUCACUUCCCUUUCCUGAGCCUUGGUCCCUCAUGUUUCCUGGAGGGUUAAACUAGACAGUCUCCCAGAGACUUUCCAGCACUAACAUGCUAUGCUUCCAUGGACUUGUGAAUUCUGCCAAGUGAUCGUAAUUGUGAGGUGCCAGCACCAUGACUCCCAACAAAGUCUCCUGUAAACUCUACAGGAGUGGAGUUGGCAAACUGCCCAGCAGACUCACAUGGAAAGUGCACUGGGCUCGAGUCUCUAACGGAGGGCCGCUUCAGCAUCCUGGAACUUAGACCCAUUGGUUGCAUGCCCCUUCAUAAGUCUUAAUGGAUAAAAACAGAAAGAAAUUACUGGGCUUCUGCUACCUCAAAAAAGUCUGAAGCCAAGACAAUGCAGGCAAUCCAGAAACUCAAGUCCCUGAAAGUAUGUUGUCGCUACUCUACCUGUAUUCCUUCAACACUUAUUGCAGUCCUUGCCAACAACGUCAUUUUGCAAGCACCCAAAACUCUCCACCUGAUGGAAUCACUUCGCUGAAGCAUGGGCAGGCCAGAAGUGCUAAGGGGUUAAUGCCUCCAGGAAUGGCGCUCAGCCAAUGAUGGGUAGAGUUGAAGGCUUCCCAUCCCUCUUUGAUCAUCUUGGGCACUUCCUGGUCUUUUCAUCAUCUGUUACCACCACUAGCAUCUCAAAAUUCCUCCUUACCGUCAGAUGUCUUGAUCUAUAGGAAAACAAUGUUUCCCCAUUUAUCACCCUCUUACAGAAGAAUUUCUCUUGCAGCAACUUUG